CGUAGGGUGCGAGCGUUAAUCGGAAUUACUGGGCGUAAAGCGUGCGCAGGCGGUUUUGUAAGUCAGAUGUGAAAUCCCCGGGCUCAACCUGGGAACUGCGUUUGAAACUACAAGGCUAGAGUAUGGCAGAGGGGGGUAGAAUUCCACGUGUAGCAGUGAAAUGCGUAGAGAUGUGGAGGAAUACCAAUGGCGAAGGCAGCCCCCUGGGUCAAUACUGACGCUCAUGCACGAAAGCGUGGGGAGCAAACAGGAUUAGAUACCCUGGUAGUCCACGCCCUAAACGAUGUCAACUAGGUGUUGGAUGGGUAAAACCAUUUAGUACCGGAGCUAACGCGUGAAGUUGACCGCCUGGGGAGUACGGCCGCAAGGUUA
rnacentral:rRNA from 1 species